UACGGAGGGUGCAAGCGUUAUCCGGAUUCACUGGGUUUAAAGGGUGCGUAGGCGGGUAAGUAAGUCCGUGGUGAAAUCUCUGAGCUUAACUCAGAAACUGCCGUGGAUACUAUUUGCCUUGAAUAUUGUGGAGGUGAGCGGAAUAUGUCAUGUAGCGGUGAAAUGCUUAGAUAUGACAUAGAACACCAAUUGCGAAGGCAGCUCACUACUCAAUCAUUGACGCUGAGGCACGAAAGCGUGGGGAGCGAACGGG
rnacentral:rRNA from 1 species